UGAGGUAGUAGGUGGUGUUCGA
rnacentral:miRNA from 1 species